rnacentral:rRNA from 1 species
UACGUAGGGGGCAAGCGUUGUCCGGAUUUAUUGGGCGUAAAGAGCGUGUAGGCGGCUAUGCAGGUCCGCUGUGAAAGUCGGGGGCUCAACCCUCGAAUGCCGGUGGAUACUGUCGGGCUAGAGUGCGGAAGAGGCGAGUGGAAUUCCUGGUGUAGCGGUGAAAUGCGCAGAUAUCAGGAAGAACACCUAUGGCGAAGGCAGCUCUCUGGGACGGUACUGACGCUGAGACGCGAAAGCGUGGGGAGCGAACAGG